AAGCGAAUAUGUUGGAUAACAAGGAGAGAUUAAGGAGAAGCCAAUUAAACAUCAAAUUAGGUUAUGAUUUUACAAAUUAAGCACCAAAACAUCAUGUUAUACAACAAAUUUGACAGAAAAGGUAGUUCAAUAUGCAGUAAUGUUAGGUAGUAAUUACCGUAUUUACGAAUUUAGCAGCAAAAUAUCAAAGCUGUUUCAAUGAAAAGAACAGGAAUCCCCAGAAUCCAACAUAAGAGUAAAUCCAGGAAACAAGGCUUAAAACAUGAACAUGAAUCCCAAAGUUAAUCCAUAAAACAAGGAGCAAAACAUGAGCAUGAAUCCAAAGGUACUGUAUUUCCAUAAAACCAGCAUCAAAACAUGACAUGAAUCUUGAGUCUUGAACUAGAGCUUGAACUGGGAAUAAGACAGGAGUUCUUCACAUGGAUAGCGAUGUUGCUUUAUCUAUCUAACUUAAGGGCUGCAAAUCAUGAACACAUUUCUUUGACCUUGAAGGGCCUGCUUCUGCCUCUCUUUCUCACUGAUUCCUUCCUAUUUCCUGCACCUGAAUCUCUGCCCACUCAGAAGCAGCCUGGUAUCUCUGUCUAAGCCAGCUGCUCCCUCAGAUGAGCUAAUGUUUUCGUGGGUUGCUAAACUCCUUGUGGGUGAAAGGUCCUCUCCUUGCCUGUUGGAUUCCAAAACAAUUCUACUUUCACACUCUGUCUCAGAGACUGCAUGUUGCUCUAAAACUCCUUUCUUUUCUUCCCCCUCAUCUGGAUCUGGUUCCAGCAUUCUCCUGGGCCUUAAAACCCCAGUCCCCUCAUCUUCAUCUGGCUGAACCAUUUCUGGUGGCUGUGCAUGGAAAUGCGUCUUGCCAGCAUGUGAAGAUGGAGAGAGGACUCCUGAUUGAAGAAAAUAGUGGGAAGCAGAGGACAACUGGAAGGAGACAAGGAAACAUUGUGGGAUAGCUGGUCAUCCCUGAAGACAGAUCUUGCUGGGAGGAAUUAUUAAUGGACAAUGGAACACUGACAGUUGAAACUAGCAGAAAGUAGAGGUUGCUGUACUCGGCUGGUGUUCUCUGCAAAUCAUCUGGACAGCUGAGACCGUGAAAUUGAUCCAGACGGUGACCCUUGAGAAAAGCCCGGUGCCCUUAAUGGCCAUAUGUGUAGACCACGUCAAAUCCUGUCCUUCUUUUGCUACUGUGGAAUGAGAAAAAUGUCCCCGUCUGAAGGGGUAGGCAUGAGAUUUUCAGGUGUUCCUAAAACAUACAAGCAAGGGGAGAUGGUUUGACUUUAAACUGCUUCAUCAAAGUUUUCCAAAUGUUGAUUUCAUCGAUUAUUAGUGGUGUGUAUAAAUGAAAAGAGCAAAACAAAAACAAAAGUUCAAAAUGUCCUUUACAAAAAUCAAGACUGGAUGAUGAAGAAUUCUGUUAGUGAUCAGUAAACCCACCCCUUUCAUUCUAUCAGUCAGGUGUCUGAAUAAUAAAAUGCAGGUGUCUUUUGGUGCUAAUAGUAGGUCUUCCAGCAGGAAAGUGGGUGCAAAGUUAAACCACAUGUACUACUUAAAAAAACAAGCGAGGUGUGAUUUGGCAAGUCUUUUGUCUCCCCUGCCCCACAGUGUAAAGGGAAAGUGAAUGCUUGGGCCAUAUUGUGUGGCUGUGUGAUCCGCAGUUAACCCUUGGCCACAUUGAUUCCUUUGUAGAAAUCUAAUGGGGCAAAAGGUUAGGUGGAGCUCAUUACUACAGACAGCUUUUAAAUCACAGUGGUAAUAUGGCCAUUCCACAUGGCAAUGUGUUCUUCCAAUACCUCAGGUUCAAUAUAGAAGAUGUGCUAGUAAGUUCAUGCCUCCUCCUCCUCCAUCACCACCAUCAUCACCACUCCCUAUCAUUUUUUUAUACCCUGCCUUUACACCAAAAUUGAGACCUAAGGCAACUUGAGACAAAUCCUUUUUAAAAUUGUCUUUAUUUAUUUAAGGUAACUGAACAAAUAAACCCAGUGAAAUUGAUAGUAUAUUCCUGCAUGGAAGGGAGUUAAUCCUGAUGUUCCUUGUGGUUGUUUCCAGCUCUAUGACUCUAUGAAAAAAUAGAGAUUUAUUUUUAAAAAAACACAUGCACAUUAAAAUACUCUUUUAGACCCCUAAAAGCACUCUGAAACAACCCCAGAAUCCAGUUUUAAAACAGUGAACACUAUGAAGAAUGGCACUGUUUUAAGCCUGCCAGAAGCUUAAAAGAGAUGGGGCUAGCCUAAACCUCUUGGGUAGGGAGUUCUACACAUAAGGCACCACAACAGAGAAAACCCUGUUGUAUUUAUUUCAUCUUAACUGUAUGUGGUGUUGGGACAUGCAAGAGCCCUUCUUCUGAAGAUCUCAGAUAUCUGGCAGACUCAUAUGAGAGGAGGCAGUAUUUCACAUAUUUUGGCCCCAGGUCAUUUAGAGAUUUGUGGGUCAAAACCAGCACAUUAAAUUGAGCUUGGAAGCAAACUGGAAGCACUUUCUUUAUUCAUUGCACUUUUUGUGAGGUUGCCUCUUUUCACAGAUCAUUUUCCAUAUGAGAAGUGGGUGCCUUUUAGUCAUGUGCAUUUGGGGCAAACCUUGAUUCAUUUUGUGUCCCGGCUUUCGGUGAGAGCUCCGAUCUGUUUUGUUUGCGCCUCCCAAAAUCGAGAAGGCAGAUAUUUGUUCUUUUGUCUUCAGUGCGGAAAGAUCCAUUUUCUUUCAGCCCAUUAUGGGGGGCCCAUUAUGGCACUUUAUGGCACUUUGGGCCUAUGCCUAUGCGCUAGGGCCUCGCAGGGUCUGCUGCAGACUCUGCAGCCGAGCGUAGUGUAAGGACGCUCAGGCGUAUAGGCCUAAAGAUUGCACCCAUAGGCCCAAAGCACCCAGGCCUACAGGUUUAUGGAAAUGCUGUAGUUUUACUCCAAUUAAAAUCAGAAUUUUUAAAUAUCCAGUAGGGUUUAUAUUAACCAUUUGUGUGUCCUGUAAAAUAAAAUAAUAUAUAGUAUCAAAAUAAAAUAGGCAUUACAUACAAUAAACUUAUGAGUCAAGGCUGGUACAAAAGUAGGUGAAUCCUCAGUUGUAUCAGUUCAAUUAAAGGGAGCAAUUUGAAUCAAAUAUGUCAGCAAUUAAGUAGGUUGUAAAAUUGGGAGACUCGGUUUUAUAAAAGGAUCUGAAACUGUGAAUUUGCUCUUCACUUUACAAAUGUGUAGAAACAUGGCAUGUCACAAUCAAGAGAUAAACCUGAGGAUUUCAAAACGUGCAGUAGUUACUGCUCCUCAGACUAGAAAAGUUUAGAAAGAUUUACAAAACAAUUUCCAUUUGAAAAAAGUUCAAAACUACAAGUCAGUCCACUCAAACUUUGCCCAAUUUCACCUCCACCCCCCUAAAGGGAGCAAAAGUUUUACAGAUGAUGUUCACUUGACUCAUAUGAAGAAUGUCCACCAAGACUUAACAAUCAAAAAAAGAUUAAACAAGAACGGUGUUCCUAGAUUGCUACUCAAGGAAAUCACUGAUAUCUAAAAAGAUCAAUGCUGGUUGUCUGAAGCUCAUUCAGAAAACCCCCAAGACUCCUGGAAUAAUAGUCUCUGAACAGAUGAAGUAAAUGUUGCUUUUUUUUCAAAAUGGAAAAAGUAAUGUCUAGUAAAAAAAGAAGAAGCUACUGCUCUUUUAAUUUUAAAUCCAUAAUUUCAAAUUAAAUGAUUCAAAAGAUAAUGAAAACAGAAUGCGAGAGGUUGAAGAAGAUGGGGAAAGAUGGAACUGGAUCAAGAAUUAUAUUAUGAAUAAGUCCAGAGAUCAGGCCAUAAGAAAUAGGAUACAAAUGUUAUAUAGUAUCUAAAUCUAUAAGGAUUUUCUCAAAAAGGAUUAAUAUGUAAAAGAAAAUAAUUCUCGUGAUGGUGGUAAUUGUAAAUGUCGUGUAUGUGUAUGCCCUAAAAUAAAUAAAUAAAUAAUUGUUUUUAAAAAAAGAAAAGCUACAUCUGAAACAUUAAACAUGAAUGGAAAUGCAAUCAUUUCAGUUCACUUUGGUGUUUCAGAUCCUGGAUGGCUUGUUAUCAUCAACAAAUCAAUGAAUUUUGCAUUGUACCAGAAGAUUCCAGCAGAUAAAGUUAUCUGAAGCUGAAAGAAAGUAUACUAAGCCCUAAACAUACAGAUCUACCAUAAAAUUGCUUUGUCAGAAGACAUUCUUGAUAUUUGAAUUGCAUACUCAAAAUCCAGAGCUCACUCCAUCAAAAUCUUCAAAUAGGACCUAACAGCUUUGUAAGGAAGAAAGGACCCAAAUACCAUAAAACUAAUUGAGAGACUGGCCAUCAUUUAAUAUUAUUUGCUCAAAUGGAUGUUAUUGUAUCAUAUAUUUUUCUCCAUAUAGAUAUUAACUGUAAGUUUACAUAUGUAAAAAAAUAAACAUU